rnacentral:rRNA from 1 species
GACGAACGCUGGCGGCGUGCUUAACACAUGCAAGUCGAACGAUGAACCGGAGCUUGCUCUGGGGAUUAGUGGCGAACGGGUGAGUAACACGUGGGCAACCUGCCCCAGACACCGGGAUAACCAUUCGAAAGGAUGGCUAAUACCGGAUACGACCACUUCGGGCAUCCGAUGGUGGUGGAAAGGAUUCUGGUCUGGGAUGGGCCCGCGGCCUAUCAGCUUGUUGGUGGGGUAAUGGCCUACCAGGGCGACGACGGGUAGCCGGCCUGAGAGGGCGACCGGCCACACUGGGACUGAGACACGGCCCAGACUCCUACGGGAGGCAGUAGUGGGGAAUAUUGCGCAAUGGGCGAAAGCCUGACGCAGCGACGCCGCGUGAGGGACGAAGGUCUUCGGAUUGUAAACCUCUUUCAGCAGGGAUGAAGCGAAAGUGACAGUACCUGCAGAAGAAGCACCGGCUAACUACGUGCCAGCAGCCGCAGUAACAC